UUCCUUCGAGUCCGCUUCGCACCGUUGCUGUCUUUUUGUUUUCCUCAAUAUCGCCUCGAAUACCUUCGGUGUCGCCGGUUCACGUGGAAAAGAACGCAAGCUUCACGCCGCCAUUCGGACCUACCUCACACCGGUUCGAUCGUACAUGAUCCCCCCUGUCGCUGGGCUGCCAACUCCUGUAACUUUACCCCUAUCGAUAUUUUUCGGCGUUGCCACCUCGACCAUCUCUGCCUGCCUCUGUUACACAUAAACAGGGAUUGUCAAGAGCAGGGCCGGCGAUCUGGGUGGAUCGGUGGGUGGACGGCGUGGUCGAGUGCAGGGAUCAAUGGUGUCGGGCAGGUAGAAUCGUAGUAUAUGUAGUGGGUGGUGGUGAGGUGAGCCAUAAAAAAUCCACAAGCUUAUAUUUGCGUAGGCUGGGACUUAGGCUUUCGACCGCUCGGGACUUUCCCCUGUUUAUUCUUUAAGUAAUGAGCACUGGAAUUUCCGCGCAAUAGUCUCAAAGAUCGACGACAGAUCGUAAACUGCCACCUACCUAACACAAUGCAGGACUCGUAAACGAAUGCUGGGAUGCGGUGCCAAAUACCUGAGUCUGCGCCAGAGCCAGAGCCUAAGGACUCGCUCACAGGAAGGGCACUCAUCAGAUAAGCAAAGGGCGUC